rnacentral:rRNA from 1 species
UACGUAGGGUGCAAGCGUUAAUCGGAAUUACUGGGCGUAAAGCGUGCGCAGGCGGUUAUGUAAGUCAGGUGUGAAAUCCCCGGGCUUAACCUGGGAACUGCAUUGGUGACUGGCGGGCUAGAGUGUGGCAGAGGGGGGUAGAAUUCCACGUGUAGCAGUGAAAUGCGUAGAGAUGUGGAGGAAUACCGAUGGCGAAGGCAGCCCCCUGGGCUAACACUGACGCUCAUGCACGAAAGCGUGGGGAGCAAACAGG